CUUGUUGGGUAAAACUGCGGGACAGGUUAAACAGGUGACAAGGUGUCAGGUUUCAGCGGCUGGUUUCUUCCACACACGAUACAGAGAGGCAGGCAACAUACGAUCUUGGUCCAAAUUUGCUUCCUUAAUAUCAAACAUUCACCCUCCUAACAAAUAGUCCAGCCAUGGGACAGAAGUAUGACGGGUUGUCCCACUGUAAGCUCGCUCUGGUGUUUGCCGUGGUGAUGGACGUGCUGGGUGUGACGUCCCUGCUGGUAGGCAUCUUCGCUUCCCUAGAGAUCCAGGGCGAAGACUUUGGGGAUCUGCUGGUGUACUCUGGAGUUCUGUUGGUCCUGUUUUCCAUGGCCGGCUGGGUGCUUUGGUAUAGUGGCAACAUCGAAGGUCUGCAUUUACAAAAAGACCUGAAUGGACGUUUGGGUUCUGCUAUGGACCGAUUGGCUCGCUCUGUCAGCCGGAGGAUGCGGCUCCCCAGGACGCGCAGCAGUCCCAGUUAAACAGUCGAGACAUCAGUCUGGUUUUGAUUCUUGUUGAGCCAAAUUACUUGAAACAAAAGCAUAAUUCAGGGCUUUUCUUUCUGUCAGUUUUUGAUAAAAAAGACCUGUCAACCUUUGUUUUUAGAAACAGAAUAUGUAUGUUUUGCUUAAGUAUGUGCACAUGCACUAGUUUAUAUAGUCUUUAAUAUUAAAACUAUUGCAAUGAAUGUCUUUUCUCAGCUGCCUCGUUAAUAAUUUAUUGUCUUUGCUAAAUUAUUAUACAGGUAUAUCUCAAUAAUUUAAAACAUCCUCAAAAAGUUAAUUUCAGUAAAUCUGUUCAAAAAGUUAUGCUCACAUAUAUUAAUUGUAAACAGAAUAUAUAUUUCAAUAUAUUUAUAUAUUGCUAUGUAUUUUGAUGAUCAUGGGUUACACUCAAUGAAAACCCAAAAUUUAGCUUUUAAGAAAAUAAAUGCACUCAAUACUUAGUGGGGACUCCAACUGCAUGAUUUAUAGCAUCUGUACAGCUUGGCAGGGAGACGACCAGCCUUUGGGUCAGCUGAUGCAUUAAAGAACCACAAGUUGCUUUA